rnacentral:lncRNA from 10 species
AGCAGACUGGCGCUUCAGUUGAAUCCAGGUGUAUGGCAGAUGAACCUGACAGCAAUAACAUAAGUGUAUCCCAAGAAUGACACUGUAUGGCAGAUGAACCUGACAGCAACAAGUUAAGCAUACCCUGAGAAUGACCAUAUGGUCUAAGAAGAAUGCAUAUUCAGAGUUGGGAGCUACAGAAUCUGGGUGUGGCCAACCUGGAGAUUCAUUCCUUGUCUAUGAGGGACAUCUGAGCCUUCAGCCCAUCCUGUGGAAUGCAGGCAAUACAGGGGACCAAGGCCCAUUGUUUUAGAUUAAAUGAAGAUUUCCAAGUGGAGGUUGCUAAGUGAAAAUGCUGUAUAAAUUGCAUGCUUUUAAUAAGUGGUUGCAGUUCUCCUCUCCAGCCCACUGCCACUGGACCACCCCUGUAUGUAAGUUUCCUCAACAAACCCUAUGUAUUCUUCACUGGCUCUAGGUCUCUUCUUGGGCCUCUUAAACAUGGUGCGGUUUCUGCUGAAGUCAUAGGGGUCCAGCAUGUCAAAGCGUCAAAUCAGCAUUGUAAUCUAAAGACUUUUCUCACCCAAUCCUAUUCCACAUCCCUACUCCCACCUUGCUUUUUGCCUCUACAGUCACAAUAAAGCUCUCCCAGU